rnacentral:misc_RNA from 1 species
AAAUUUUUUUACUUCAUUUUAUUUGUCCAAUCCAAAAAAUUGCAAGUGUGUGCCAGCGCAGCAAAUUGGAAAUGGGAUGCUUUUUUGUUUUGGUACCCCAAGUUGUAAACAGAAGCAUAAACAGCAAUCAGCAAUGAUUAAUCCUUUGGGGUGGGUAGUGGAUAGAAUCCUAAAACCCAUUAGUGAGGGCAGAGGAUUUAGGUGUUUCUAGUCCCAGUUGGACAGGUCAGAGAACAGGGAUGGGUGCUUCUCCAUCUGUCCCAGAGAAAUCCAUCCAUGAAUUCUCUGUCAAGGAUGCCCGGGGUCAGGAUGUCGACUUCAGCAUCUACAAAGGCAAGGUUCUUCUCGUGGUUAAUGUCGCCUCUAAAUGUGGAUUUACAGAUUCGAAUUACACCCAGUUGACCGAUCUUUAUAACAAGUAUAAGGACCAAGGUUUUGAAAUCUUGGCAUUUCCUUGUAACCAAUUUCUGAAACAAGAGCCAGGGACGAGUGAAGAUGCACAACAGUUUGCUUGUACCAGAUACAAGGCUGAAUAUCCAAUUUUCCAGAAGGUAUUGGAGUUCACUUGUUUGAUAAUGUUUCUAGUACAAUAUAAUAUGGCUACGUGUAUAUUAAGUAGUGAUUGUGAUUCUUGUAUGUCGUAAUUCUGUUUUGAAGUCUGUUUUAUUCAGUUUGAUGAUAAAUGUUAAUGAUUUUGUGGUUGCUGUUCUCUGUAAGGGGAACAAAGCUAUUGACAGUUAUAAUGUUUGAAGAAGCAUGUAUUCACAUUUUUGAUGGUACAAGAAUCUCAUUUAUCUACUUGCUAUCGAAACAGAAUUUCCUUCAUCGCCAUCAAAGCAAGGUGCAGUAAAAAAUAAGAUUCACCAUUCCCUGAUUUCAUGCAAUAACAUUCACUGACUCAAAUAUCUUAGGUUGUCUACACGUAUUUGAACAUGAUAUGCUUUGCUAGAUUCAUGUGUUCUUUUUUUUUUUUUGGUAAAGGUUUGGGAUAAUUUUUGGUAGAGGAGCUAUGUUUUUUGUUGAAGAAAUUAGUUUAAUCCUUUGAUGAUACAUUUAGUUGCUACUUCCAUUAAUUGUAGGAGGUAGCGUUUGUGAUUUAUUGCUGCAAAGAAGGCAUGAACUUAUUUUUGGAAGCCUUGUUUGUCAUAUGGGAAACUUUGUGCUUUUCAUAUUCGACCAGACCGCCAUGCUGAUUACAUAGAGUAGGGCUUGGAAAUCCUGUCCAUCAUUUAAGACUUCAAGUUGCAGUAAUUGAGUGUGAAGCAUCUGUCAGCAUUGUGCAUGCCGGAUCUUUGUUUAAGAUUAUACGGAAAUGGUACGCGUCAAUGGGCCAAAUACAGCACCUGUCUACAAGUUCCUCAAGGCAAGCAAAUGCGGAAUUAUGGGGUCUGGCAUAAAGUGGAACUUUACCAAGUUCUUGGUCAAUAAGGAAGGGCAAGUUAUCAGUCGCUACAGCCCAAUCACUCGUCCUUUGUCUAUUGAGGCUGAUAUCAAGAAAGCUUUGGUAUAAUGUGAGAAAUAUGCCACGAACAGAUUCAGUAAAAGCUAAAUCAAAAUAUGUAAAGCAUUUAGAUGGUCAAGCUAUUCUGAUGUCGAGUUAGUUAUUGUAUAUUAUUGAUCGAUGACUUCUAUUUAAUGCAUUCCGUUUGUAGUGUAGAGAAUAAAGGAGUAAGAGCUUGUUGUAAACGGAUAGUUUGCUUAUGUGUUGUAGUUUGCUUUUAUGUUGUUCCUAUUUGAGUUUUUUCUAUCCUAAGCAAUUAAAUUUGGUUGCAUGAGAAAUCAUCUCUGAUGGCGAUUGCCACUGGACCCGGCCACCGGCUGGAUGUAGUCUUGUUUUAAGCCGUAACCGCCAGUUCGGCCGGCUUUAUGGUUUGUAACGGUCUUGGUCAUAAUAGUUUCAAUUCAAAAUAGUUCAAUAAGAUUUCGG